rnacentral:rRNA from 1 species
CAACGCGAAGAACCUUACCUGUCUUGACAUCCCGGAGACCCUUAGGAAACUAGGGGUGCUUCCAUCUGGAAGAAUCUGGAGACAGGUGCUGCAUGGCUGUCGUCAGCUCGUGUCGUGAGAUGUUGGGUUAAGUCCCGCAACGAGCGCAACCCUUGCCUUUAGUUGCCAGCAGUUCGGCUGGGCACUCUAAAGGGACUGCCGGUGUUAAACCGGAGGAAGGUGGGGAUGACGUCAAGUCCUCAUGGCCUUUAUGACCAGGGCUACACACGUACUACAAUGGCCGAUACAAAGGGCAGCGACACUGCGAGGUGAAGCCAAUCCCGUAAAAUCGGUCUCAGUCCGGAUUGGAGUCUGCAACUCGACUCCAUGAAGUUGGAAUCGCUAGUAAUCGUGGAUCAGCAUGCCACGGUGAAUACGUUCCCGGGCCUU